AACGAACGCUGGCGGCAGGCCUAACACAUGCAAGUCGAGCGGCAGCACGGGUACUUGUACCUGGUGGCGAGCGGCGGACGGGUGAGUAAUGCCUAGGAAUCUGCCUGGUAGUGGGGGAUAACGCUCGGAAACGGACGCUAAUACCGCAUACGUCCUACGGGAGAAAGCAGGGGACCUUCGGGCCUUGCGCUAUCAGAUGAGCCUAGGUCGGAUUAGCUAGUUGGUGAGGUAAUGGCUCACCAAGGCGACGAUCCGUAACUGGUCUGAGAGGAUGAUCAGUCACACUGGAACUGAGACAACGGUCCAGACUCCUACGGGAGGCAGCAGUGGGAAUAUUGGACAAUGGGCGAAAGCCUGAUCAGCCAUGCCGCGUGUGUGAA
rnacentral:rRNA from 1 species